UGGGCCUAGCCCUAGGUUUUGUGCUUGAAGUGAAUUAUUUAAAAGAAACAAGCUAAACUGAUCUGAGAGAUUGAGAGCCCUACUUCUCUCAUAGAUAUCGGCGAUCAGAAGACAAGAUCACGAUGCUGACGAGCUUCUUACGGUUCAGAUUAGCGAUUAUGGUACGGGGAUCUAUUUCAACGGCCACCUUUGGCUCGGUGGCAUCGAGGAACCUGAUUGGUUCGUACAGUCGGGAAGCUCAUGUUCCCUUUCUAACCUCUUCGAUGAAGGCUACGGCGCCUACUACCAGGUCGUGGAGCAGUAUGGUCCUGGACCAGAAGGAGGAGGAGAAACAGAUCGAUGAAUCUGAUAAAAUUGCCAAAGCGGAUGGUAUGGGGGACGCAGAACAAGUGGAUCGCUCAAAGUCUAGAAAGGAGAAGUUUGGUGAUGAGGAGUACCUGCAGCGCAGAUGGGAAGAGGGACGGGUAAGGGAGUUCUUUCAGGAAUGGAAAGAGGCAUACGAGAGGGUGUACGCGAAUGCUGAGGAGGAAGAAAUGAGGUUCAAAAUAUUUGAAAGUUCGUUCAAGUUUGUUGUUGAGACAAAUUCAGAGGGUAAUUCACCGGAUUCUCUUCGAGUGGCUUUGAACCAAUUUUGUGAUCGAACCGAGGAUGAAAUGAAAGAAUAUACUGGAGCAGGAGUUGACCUUUGCGAAAUGGAAAUUAAACGAAGUCUUUUAAAGUAUUACGAUGAAGAAAGGGUGUCAAAUAUCUUGCCACAGGCUACUAUGAUGGGAUAUGAUUACUUCUGUGAGUUGGUCAAAGAUUCUGUUAUAAUUUUUAGGGCAUGGAAGAUGAUGGUUCUUUAUUGAAAAUUUACAACUCAGUCACUGGAAUACUUGAUGCACAAAACAUGAUGCCUUAGGUUUGCACAAAGUAAAGUUACCUAAGUGAUGAUGGAUCCAGAAACUGUCCUUUGGUUAUUUUGGCUCACUAAACUAAUGUUUGACAUUUUGCAUGCAGAUGAUGUGUCAGAUGAUGAUGAGUACAAUAUUAGUACUUGAGCAAGUCCUUAGCUGGUGUCGGACAGUUGCAGCAAAUCUCUAGUAGUUGGAGAUUUGGAGAUGGAUAUGUAUAAUUGGGGACUAUAUGAAGUUAGGAGAUGUUCCCUAGUUAUGUAUAAUGCUGGAGUUUAAUUUUAUUUUAUGAACUAGAGGAUGUUCCCAGUUAGGGGAUGUUCAUAUAUUUAUUCAUGUGUAAAAUGACUAGUAUAAUUAUAGAUUUUAUGAACUAGGGGUUGUUCCCUUCUCUAAUUAGGUAAUGUUUAGAUAUUGUGAGUGGAUCGUUGGAAUUUUGUUUGGAUAUCUAAAUUUAAAUUUGAAGUAGUACGGAGACAGGCGGUUGGUUCUUA